GGGGGGAUGGCUCAGUGGUAAGGGCUGUGCCUGGCCGGCCUCAGGACUGCACCACCUGGGGCAGUGGGUUCAAUUCCCACUCCUUCCA